rnacentral:rRNA from 1 species
AUGCACGCUGGCGGCGUGCCUAAUACAUGCAAGUCGAGCGAACGGACGAGAAGCUUGCUUCUCUGAUGUUAGCGGCGGACGGGUGAGUAACACGUGGAUAACCUACCUAUAAGACUGGGAUAACUUCGGGAAACCGGAGCUAAUACCGGAUAAUAUUUUGAACCGCUUGGUUCAAAAGUGAAAGACGGUCUUGCUGUCACUUAUAGAUGGAUCCGCGCUGCAUUAGCUAGUUGGUAAGGUAACGGCUUACCAAGGCAACGAUGCAUAGCCGACCUGAGAGGGUGAUCGGCCACACUGGAGCUGAGACACGGUCCAGACUCCUACGGGAGGCAGCAGUAGGGAAUCUUCCGCAAUGGGCGAAAGCCUGACGGAGCAACGCCGCGUGAGUGAUGAAGGUCUUCGGAUCGUAAAACUCUGUUAUUAGGGAAGAACAUAUGUGUAAGUAACUGUGCACAUCUUGACGGUACCUAAUCAGAAAGCCACGGCUAACUACGUG